AUUCAGUAAGGAAAAAUUGCAUUUUGUGUUCAUCAGCCCCAGAUGUCCGCAGCAAAUGCCAGCAGAAAAUCCUGAGAAAGGACCAGGCCAACCAAAUACUGCAGCAGACAAGGAACACCCACUCUGCAAUGGUCUGAAAACCGGCUCAGUUUUGGAACUCUGCAACUUCAGCAUCCACAUUUGUUUCUUUGGAGCUUUUGGAAUUGGAUUUUUGGGAUAUAAACCUACUAUUGAGUUCACUCUAGAAGGAAAAAAUCCAGAAAUGGCAAUAACUAUAACUAUUGGAUUAACUUUGGGACUGCCAGCCUGACAUCUGCAUCUAUACCAGGUUCCAGUUUAGGAGCCAUUAGUCCUCCAGAGAAUGCUGCACCAUUAACUCUACCUAUUAAUUCUUCUCAGCUGUUGGUAACACAGUUUCAUCUCCUCUGGUAUCAACUCAAAACUUCCACAGUGUUUACUGUAAACAGUUUGGGUGGAACAAUAGCAAAAACAACUGCAUCAAAAAUCCCUUCUCUAGGGUUGGCUGGACUAACACUUACACCUUCUAUUUAGCUGAUUUGGGAGGUUCUUUUUACAAAGUACAAGCACAGCAACAUAAAAACUGGGACAGGAGGCUAUAGCCAUGACUCUAGGAACCACUGUAGCUACUUCGCUGUGGCCAGUGAAGACCAUAGCAGUAUAGAUCUUAGCAGCUCACAACAUAAUGAGUGAUAAAAAGGGAUCAUGAUCAGAAAAGAAUGAAAAAAAAAAAAACACAGGGUAAAAUCUUCCUCACAUCAUUUGCCAGGACAUGGAAAAUUUUGAGAAAUUUGUGAAGGACCGAAAUGAGCACAAAGAGAAAAAAAAAUCAAUAAAUGAUUAAAAUAUGAGAAGAUAUUAAGCCUUUAAAGUAACCUCUGCCAUUGACUACCCAUGGAUGAGUGAAAAAUAUUCCUAAAACCAACAACUCAAAAAUAAAAAUUACUUAGGAGUUAAAUGAGGCAGACACAGAUUUCAGAACCCAGAAGCUAAAAGUAAAAACAUAGCUUCUAAUGAUUACUUCACAAGCAUGGCUCAGAAGUUCUAG
rnacentral:lncRNA from 9 species